CGGGGCGUGGCGCAGCAUGGUUUAGCGCGCUUGCCUUGGGAGCAAGAGGUCGCUGGUUCAAAUCCAGUCGCCCCGACCA
rnacentral:tRNA from 4 species